rnacentral:tRNA from 1 species
GAGAGCGGAUGUGGCCUGGUGGCUGUCCUGGUCUUCAAAACCAGUGGGCGUCGUGCGCAACGGCGCCGGUGGGUUCGACUCCCACACGCUCUCGCCA